rnacentral:rRNA from 1 species
UACGGGGGGAGCAAGCGUUGUUCGGAUUUACUGGGCGUAAAGGGCGCGUAGGCGGUCAGCACAAGUCAGUUGUGAAAUCCCCGGGCUUAACCUGGGAACUGCAUUUGUGACUGCACGGCUAGAGUGUGUCAGAGGGGGGUAGAAUUCCACGUGUAGCAGUGAAAUGCGUAGAUAUGUGGAGGAAUACCGAUGGCGAAGGCAGCCCCCUGGGAUAACACUGACGCUCAUGCACGAAAGCGUGGGGAGCAAACAGG